UACGUAGGGUGCAAGUGUUGUCCGGAAUCAUUGGGCGUAAAGCGCGCGUAGGUGGCUUCGUAAGUCCGUUGUGAAAGUCAAAGGCUCAACCUUUGAAUGCCGAUGGAUACUGCGGAGCUAGAGUACGGAAGAGGCGAGUGGAAUUCCUGGUGUAGCGGUGGAAUGCGCAGAUAUCAGGAGGAACACCAAUAGCGAAGGCAGCUCGCUGGGACGUUACUGACACUAAGGCGCGAAAGCGUGGGGAGCGAACAGG
rnacentral:rRNA from 1 species